GUUGAACGCUGGCGGCAUGCCUUACACAUGCAAGUCGAACGGCAGCACGGGUGCUUGCACCUGGUGGCGAGUGGCGAACGGGUGAGUAAUACAUCGGAACGUACCUUAUCGUGGGGGAUAACGCAGCGAAGGCUGUGCUAAUACCGCAUACGCCCUGAGGGGGAAAGCGGGGGAUCGCAAGACCUCGCGCGAUUAGAGCGGCCGAUGCCUGAUUAGCUUGGUGGUGGGGUAAAGGCCCACCAAGGCGACGAUCAGUAGCUGGUCUGAGAGGACGAUCAGCCACACUGGGACUGAGACACGGCCCAGACUACUACGGGAGGCAGCAGUGGGGAAUUUUGGACAAUGGGGGCAACCCUGAUCCAGCAAUGCCGCGUGAGUGAAGAAGGCCUUCGGGUUGUAAAGCUCUUUUGUCAGGGAAGAAACACCGGCUCUAACACAGUCCGGGAAUGACGGUACCUGAAGAAUAAGCACCGGCUAACUACGUGCCAGCCGCCGCAGUAA
rnacentral:rRNA from 1 species